ensembl:piRNA 21ur-9733 ncRNA
UUUUUUGUGGCUUAUCUAAAU